CUGGCUCAGGAUGAACGCUAGCUACAGGCUUAACACAUGCAAGUCGAGGGGCAGCAUGUGGUUGCUUGCAACCAAUGAUGGCGACCGGCGCACGGGUGAGUAACGCGUAUCCAACCUUCCCCUUAGUAGAGGAUAGCCCGGCGAAAGUCGGAUUAAUACUCUAUGUUCUUCAAUGCGGACAUCUAAGUUGAAGCAAAGAUUUAUCGCUAAGGGAUGGGGAUGCGUCUGAUUAGGUUGCAGGCGGGGUAACGGCCCACCUGGCCUACGAUCAGUAGGGGUUCUGAGAGGAAGGUCCCCCACACUGGUACUGAGACACGGACCAGACUCCUACGGGAGGCAGCAGUGAGGAAUAUUGGUCAAUGGGCGCGAGCCUGAACCAGCCAAGUAGCGUGCAGGAACCGACUGCCCUAUGGGUUGUAAACUGCUUUUAUCAGGGAAUAAAGUGAGGCACGCGUGCCUUUUUGUAUGUACCUGAUGAAUAAGGACCGGCUAAUUCCGUGCCAGCCGCUGC
rnacentral:rRNA from 1 species